rnacentral:rRNA from 1 species
UAGGGAAUCUUCCACAAUGGACGCAAGUCUGAUGGAGCAACGCCGCGUGAGUGAAGAAGGUUUUCGGAUCGUAAAGCUCUGUUGUAAGUCAAGAACGGGUGUGAGAGUGGAAAGUUCACACUGUGACGGUAGCUUACCAGAAAGGGACGGCUAACUACGUGCCAGCAGCCGCGGUAAUACGUAGGUCCCGAGCGUUGUCCGGAUUUAUUGGGCGUAAAGCGAGCGCAGGCGGUUUGAUAAGUCUGAAGUUAAAGGCUGUGGCUCAACCAUAGUUCGCUUUGGAAACUGUCAAACUUGAGUGCAGAAGGGGAGAGUGGAAUUCCAUGUGUAGCGGUGAAAUGCGUAGAUAUAUGGAGGAACACCGGUGGCGAAAGCGGCUCUCUGGUCUGUAACUGACGCUGAGGCUCGAAAGCGUGGGGAGCGAACAGGAUUAGAUACCCUGGUAGUCCACGCCGUAAACGAUGAGUGCUAGGUGUUGGAUCCUUUCCGGGAUUCAGUGCCGCAGCUAACGCAUUAAGCACUCCGCCUGGGGGAGUACGACCGCAAGG